rnacentral:rRNA from 1 species
GGGUUGUGAGGUUAAGCGACUAAGCGUACACGGUGGAUGCCCUGGCAGUCAGAGGCGAUGAAGGACGUGCUAAUCUGCGAUAAGCGUCGGUAAGGUGAUAUGAACCGUUAUAACCGGCGAUUUCCGAAUGGGGAAACCCAGUGUGAUUCGUCACACUAUCAUUAACUGAAUCCAUAGGUUAAUGAGGCGAACCGGGGGAACUGAAACAUCUAAGUACCCCGAGGAAAAGAAAUCAACCGAGAUUCCCCCAGUAGCGGCGAGCGAACGGGGAGCAGCCCAGAGCCUGAAUCAGUGUGUGUGUUAGUGGAAGCGUCUGGAAAGGCGCGCGAUACAGGGUGACAGCCCCGUACACAAAAAUGCACAUGCUGUGAGCUCGAUGAGUAGGGCGGGACACGUGGUAUCCUGUCUGAAUAUGGGGGGACCAUCCUCCAAGGCUAAAUACUCCUGACUGACCGAUAGUGAACCAGUACCGUGAGGGAAAGGCGAAAAGAACCCCGGCGAGGGGAGUGAAAAAGAACCUGAAACCGUGUACGUACAAGCAGUGGGAGCACGCUUAGGCGUGUGACUGCGUACCUUUUGUAUAAUGGGUCAGCGACUUAUAUUCUGUAGCAAGGUUAACCGAAUAGGGGAGCCGAAGGGAAACCGAGUCUUAACUGGGCGUUAAGUUGCAGGGUAUAGACCCGAAACCCGGUGAUCUAGCCAUGGGCAGGUUGAAGGUUGGGUAACACUAACUGGAGGACCGAACCGACUAAUGUUGAAAAAUUAGCGGAUGACUUGUGGCUGGGGGUGAAAGGCCAAUCAAACCGGGAGAUAGCUGGUUCUCCCCGAAAGCUAUUUAGGUAGCGCCUCGUGAAUUCAUCUCCGGGGGUAGAGCACUGUUUCGGCAAGGGGGUCAUCCCGACUUACCAACCCGAUGCAAACUGCGAAUACCGGAGAAUGUUAUCACGGGAGACACACGGCGGGUGCUAACGUCCGUCGUGAAGAGGGAAACAACCCAGACCGCCAGCUAAGGUCCCAAAGUCAUGGUUAAGUGGGAAACGAUGUGGGAAGGCCCAGACAGCCAGGAUGUUGGCUUAGAAGCAGCCAUCAUUUAAAGAAAGCGUAAUAGCUCACUGGUCGAGUCGGCCUGCGCGGAAGAUGUAACGGGGCUAAACCAUGCACCGAAGCUGCGGCAGCGACGCUUAUGCGUUGUUGGGUAGGGGAGCGUUCUGUAAGCCUGCGAAGGUGUGCUGUGAGGCAUGCUGGAGGUAUCAGAAGUGCGAAUGCUGACAUAAGUAACGAUAAAGCGGGUGAAAAGCCCGCUCGCCGGAAGACCAAGGGUUCCUGUCCAACGUUAAUCGGGGCAGGGUGAGUCGACCCCUAAGGCGAGGCCGAAAGGCGUAGUCGAUGGGAAACAGGUUAAUAUUCCUGUACUUGGUGUUACUGCGAAGGGGGGACGGAGAAGGCUAUGUUGGCCGGGCGACGGUUGUCCCGGUUUAAGCGUGUAGGCUGGUUUUCCAGGCAAAUCCGGAAAAUCAAGGCUGAGGCGUGAUGACGAGGCACUACGGUGCUGAAGCAACAAAUGCCCUGCUUCCAGGAAAAGCCUCUAAGCAUCAGGUAACAUCAAAUCGUACCCCAAACCGACACAGGUGGUCAGGUAGAGAAUACCAAGGCGCUUGAGAGAACUCGGGUGAAGGAACUAGGCAAAAUGGUGCCGUAACUUCGGGAGAAGGCACGCUGAUAUGUAGGUGAAGUCCCUCGCGGAUGGAGCUGAAAUCAGUCGAAGAUACCAGCUGGCUGCAACUGUUUAUUAAAAACACAGCACUGUGCAAACACGAAAGUGGACGUAUACGGUGUGACGCCUGCCCGGUGCCGGAAGGUUAAUUGAUGGGGUUAGCGCAAGCGAAGCUCUUGAUCGAAGCCCCGGUAAACGGCGGCCGUAACUAUAACGGUCCUAAGGUAGCGAAAUUCCUUGUCGGGUAAGUUCCGACCUGCACGAAUGGCGUAAUGAUGGCCAGGCUGUCUCCACCCGAGACUCAGUGAAAUUGAACUCGCUGUGAAGAUGCAGUGUACCCGCGGCAAGACGGAAAGACCCCGUGAACCUUUACUAUAGCUUGACACUGAACAUUGAGCCUUGAUGUGUAGGAUAGGUGGGAGGCUUUGAAGUGUGGACGCCAGUCUGCAUGGAGCCGACCUUGAAAUACCACCCUUUAAUGUUUGAUGUUCUAACGUUGACCCGUAAUCCGGGUUGCGGACAGUGUCUGGUGGGUAGUUUGACUGGGGCGGUCUCCUCCUAAAGAGUAACGGAGGAGCACGAAGGUUGGCUAAUCCUGGUCGGACAUCAGGAGGUUAGUGCAAUGGCAUAAGCCAGCUUGACUGCGAGCGUGACGGCGCGAGCAGGUGCGAAAGCAGGUCAUAGUGAUCCGGUGGUUCUGAAUGGAAGGGCCAUCGCUCAACGGAUAAAAGGUACUCCGGGGAUAACAGGCUGAUACCGCCCAAGAGUUCAUAUCGACGGCGGUGUUUGGCACCUCGAUGUCGGCUCAUCACAUCCUGGGGCUGAAGUAGGUCCCAAGGGUAUGGCUGUUCGCCAUUUAAAGUGGUACGCGAGCUGGGUUUAGAACGUCGUGAGACAGUUCGGUCCCUAUCUGCCGUGGGCGCUGGAGAACUGAGGGGGGCUGCUCCUAGUACGAGAGGACCGGAGUGGACGCAUCACUGGUGUUCGGGUUGUCAUGCCAAUGGCACUGCCCGGUAGCUAAAUGCGGAAGAGAUAAGUGCUGAAAGCAUCUAAGCACGAAACUUGCCCCGAGAUGAGUUCUCCCUGACUCCUUGAGAGUCCUGAAGGAACGUUGAAGACGACGACGUUGAUAGGCCGGGUGUGUAAGCGCAGCGAUGCGUUGAGCUAACCGGUACUAAUGAACCGUGAGGCUUAACCUUACAACGCCGAAGCUGUU